UACGUAGGGGGCAAGCGUUGUCCGGAAUCAUUGGGCGUAAAGCGCGUGUAGGCGGCUUCGUAAGUCCGUUGUGAAAGUCCAGGGCUCAACCCUGGAAUGCCGAUGGAUACUGCGGAGCUAGAGUCCGGAAGAGGCGAGUGGAAUUCCUGGUGUAGAGGUGAAAUGCGCAGAUAUCAGGAGGAACACCAAUGGCGAAGGCAGCUCGCUGGGACGGUGCUGACGCUGAGACGCGAAAGCGUGGGGAGCAAACAGG
rnacentral:rRNA from 1 species